UCCCGAUUAGCUCAGUCGGUAGAGCGUCAGACUUUUAACACAAGUCUUCGAGUUCAACUCGAGCAGUGAUCUGAAUGUCAGGGGUUCGAGCCCCCUAUUGGGAG